rnacentral:rRNA from 1 species
CUGGUUGAUCCUGCCAGAGGUUACUGCUAUCGGGGUUCGACUAAGCCAUGCGAGUCGAAUGUAGCAAUACAUGGCGUACUGCUCAGUAACACGUGGACAACCUGCCCUUAGGUCGGGUAUAAACCCGGGAAACUGGGUAUAAUCCCCGAUAGGUCUCGGCUGCUGGAAUGCAUCGAGAUUGAAAGCUCCGGCGCCUAAGGAUGGGUCUGCGGCCUAUCAGGUAGUAGUGGGUGUAGCGUACCUACUAGCCUACGACGGGUACGGGUUGUGAGAGCAAGAGCCCGGAGAUGGAUUCUGAGACACGAAUCCAGGCCCUACGGGGUGCAGCAGGCGCGAAAACUUUACAAUGCUGGCAACGGCGAUAAGGGAACCUCGAGUGCCAGGUUACAAAUCUGGCUGUCGAGAUGCCUAAAAAGCAUUUCAUAGCAAGGGCCGGGCAAGACCGGUGCCAGCCGCCGCGGUAACACCGGCGGCUCGAGUGGUAACCGUUAUUAUUGGGUCUAAAGGGUCUGUAGCCGGCCGGAUAAGUCUCUUGAGAAAUCUGGCAGCUUAACUGUCAGGCUUUCAGGAGAUACUGUCUGGCUCGAGGCCGGGAGAGGUGAGAGGUACUUCAGGGGUAGGGGUGAAAUCUUGUAAUCCUUGAAGGGCACCAGUGGCGAAGGCGUCUCACCAGAACGGACCUGACGGCAAGGGACGAAAGCUAGGGGCACGAACCGGAUUAGAUACCCGGGUAGUCCUAGCCGUAAACGAUACUCGCUAGGUGUCGGCCACGGUGCGACCGUUGUCGGUGCCGUAGGGAAGCCGUGAAGCGAGCCACCUGGGAAGUACGGCCGCAAGGCUGAAACUUAAAGGAAUUGGCGGGGGAGCACCAC